rnacentral:rRNA from 1 species
UCAAGUCAGCAUGGCCUUUAUAUCUGGGGCGACACACACGCUACAAUGGGCAGUACAAUGGGCAGCGAAGGGGCGACCUGGAGCGAAUCUCAUCAAAGCUGUUCGUAGUUCGGAUUGUAGGCUGCAACUCGCCUACAUGAAGCCGGAGUUGCUAGUAACCGCAGGUCAGCCAUACUGCGGUGAAUACGUUCCCGGGCCUU